UUGAUAAGAGAUGAAGUCAUUAAUUCAAUUCAACUGAAUCAAAGAAAAUAAUACAUGGACUUCCAUUCCCCCAUGUAAGUAAGCUAAUCCUUCAGCUGCACCAAGCAUAAUUUCUAAUCUCAUUUUCCAAGGCAAAGCGGGCAAACCUUUGUUAAAUAAAUGAUCUUCUAGGCUCUUGUUAGGCAUAUAUUCAUAAACCAAUAGCCGCUGGAUCCCUCUUUCAUUAUCUUCUGAGCAGUAACCUAGAAGUUUUACUAGGUUUGGGUGACUAACAACUCCAAGAAAUUGAACUUCUGCAAGCCAUUGUUUAUGGCCCUGCAAGCCAUACUUGUUGAGCUUCUUUAUGGCAACUGGUACGGAAUCUCCUUGACCAUCGGCAGGCCGAAUUGUUCCCUUAUACACACUCCCAAAACCACCUUCUCCAAUCUUGAGGAGUCUGUUAAAACCGUUUGUUGCCUCUCUAAGCUCUUGAAAAGAGAAAACUCUCAAAUUAUGCUCCUUCUCUUUGUACAAUUCAGUUAUACUUCUAGGAGAAGGUAAAGAUCUUGUUGUACGGCUCAAAGGUAAACUAUCUGGUGCGCUUCUGUUUCCCAAUUCUGGGGCCGAUCUUGAAUCUCCUUUCUUCUUCUUGGAUUUAUCCUUGAAAAUAUAAAAGCACUUCAUAUCUCUCAAUAUCAAAAUUCCCACAAUCUAAAAACUUGUUAUCCAGUUCAACAACACUUAGUUAAAGAGACGAUCAAGCAACACCCAACCAAAUGGAAGAAGAAGGAAAAAAGAAGAAAAGGAAAACCCACAAAAAA
rnacentral:misc_RNA from 1 species